AUGUACAUUCCUACAACAUAGCAUUAAUUCACCGAAUCCCAUUAGAACUCCGUAGUUAAGCAUGCUCAGGCUAGACUAGUAUUGGGAUGGGUGACCGCCUGGGAAGUCCUAGUGUUUUACAUG
rnacentral:rRNA from 1 species